UGAGGAAUAUUGGUCAAUGGGAGAGAUCCUGAACCAGCCAAGCCGCGUGAGGGAAGACGGCACUACGUGUUGUAAACCUCUUUUGCCGGGGAACAAAAGCGGGGACGCGUCCCCGUCCGCGUGUACCCGGAGAAAAAGCAUCGGCUAACUCCGUGCCAGCAGCCGCGGUAAUACGGAGGAUGCGAGCGUUAUCCGGAUUUAUUGGGUUUAAAGGGUGCGUAGGCGGUUCCUUAAGUAAGCGGUAAAAUCGCGGGGCUCAACCCCGCCGAGCCGUUUAGACUGGGGGGAACUUGAGACGGCGAGAAGUACGCGGAAUGCGCGGUGUAGCGGUGAAAUGCAUAGAUAUCGCGCAGAACUCCGAUUGCGAAGGCAGCGAAAUACCGGCGCCGUUCUGACGCUGAGGCACGAAAGCGUGGGGAUCGAACAGGAUUAGAUACC
rnacentral:rRNA from 1 species